rnacentral:rRNA from 1 species
UACGGAGGGUGCGAGCGUUGUCCGGAAUCACUGGGCGUAAAGGGCGCGUAGGCGGCUGGGGAAGUCGGCGGUGAAAGCCCGGAGCUCAACUCCGGGUCGGCCGUCGAGACUCCUCGGCUCGAGCUCACUAGAGGCAGAUGGAAUUCCGGGUGUAGCGGUGGAAUGCGUAGAGAUCCGGAAGAACACCGGUGGCGAAGGCGGUCUGCUGGGGGUGAGGCUGGAC